AGUGUUUUUUGAGGAGUGAACUCACAGGUUUCCUGCCUUGCCAGCUAUUUUGGUGAUAUGCUUGAAGCAAGAGCCGGGUGACAGCUGGGGGUAAUGGAUGUGAAUCCAAUAGGAGGGUUUCAGGAUGCUGUCACAUCCAGUGUAAGAUCACGGUUAUGGUGCAGUGCCAAGCUCCAAAGUCUCAAACACCAGAUACUGCUCCCCACAGAAGCUGUGUGGCUGCUCUCUACUGGGAAGUCUAGGUGCUUCACGACAAGAUAUCAGUCUGCACCAGAAGGUACACACACACCCAGUCCUACA